ACUGUCAGGUGUGUGUUUGUAAAUCGUGGAGUUGAGUUUAAUCGGCUACAUCAAGAGUAGCGUAAUGGACGCGAUUGAGAACAGGACAACUCUGUUUACAGUCAAAACUGAGUGAUGAAACUGGAAGACAAUGAAGGGCAUGGUGGAGCCAAAACAUCCAGCAGGAAAAGAACAGCAUCAUAAUCCAAGAGAUGCCCAAUUGAGAGCAUCCUGGCGAGCUGUAUCACCACC